CUCUGACCGUCUGCCGCAUGAUAGGGGUUGGGGCCUCCAGGGCUGAGCAGCACAGCGGGCUGCCACUUUGACCCACUCUGGCGGUCGGCCGCUUCAGUGGGAGGGAGGGCCCCAGGGCUGAGCAGCGCGGCGGGGUGCCUCUUUGACCCACUCUGGCGGUCGGCAGCCAGAGUGGGGGGGGGGCCUCCAGGGCUGAGCAGUGCGGCGGGCUGCCAAUUUGACCCAGUCUUUCUGUCGGCCGCCUGAGUAGAGGGGGGCCCGCCCGGACUGAGCUGCGCGGCGGGCUGCCACUUUGACCCACUAUGGCGGUCUGCCACCUCAGUCAGGGUGGGGCAGCCAGGGCUGAGCUGCGCGGCGGGCUGCCACUUUGACCCACUCUGGCGGUCGGCCGCCUGAGUGUGGAGAGGGACCCCAGGGCUGAGCAGCGCGGCGGGCUGCCACUAUGUCCCACUCUGGCGGUCGGGCGCUUGAGUGGGGUGGAAGGCCCCCUGGGUUGAGCAGCGCAGUGGUCUGCCACUUUUACGCACUCUGGUGGUCGGCCGCCUGAGUGGGGGGCGUAGCCAUAGGUCUGAGCAGCGUGGCGGACUCCCACUUUUACGCACUGUGGCGGUCGUCCGCCUGAGUGGGGUGUGCGGGGGCCGCCAGGACUGAGCAGCGAGGCGGGAUGCCACUUUUUCCCACUCUGACCGUCGGCCGCCUGAGUCGGGGUGGGGCCCAGAGGGCUGAGCAGUGCGGCGGGCUGCCACUUUGAGCCACUCUGGCAGUCGGCCGCCAGACUGGGUGGGGCGCCCCCAGGGCCGAGCAGCGGGGCAGGCUGCCACUUUUUCCCACUCUGGUG
rnacentral:lncRNA from 1 species